GGGUACUCUAGGGGUAGGGGUAAAAUCCUGUCAUCCUUAGAGGACCACCAGUUGCGAAGGCGCCACACUGGAACGGAUCCGACGGUCAGGGACGAAGCCUAGGGGCACGAACCGGAUUAGAUACCCGGGUAGUCCUAGGUGUAAACGCUGUGAACUUGGUGUCGGGAGUCCGCAAUGGGCCCCCGGUGCCGGAGUGAAGAUGUUAAGUUCACUGCCUGGGGAGUACGGUCGCAAGGCUGAAACUUAAAGGAAUUGGCGGGGGAGCACUGCAACGGGAGGAGCGUGCGGUUUAAUUGGAUUCAACGCCGGAAAACUCACCAGGGCCGACUGUUAUAUGAAGACCAGCGUAAUGAGCUUGUCGGAUUUUCAGAGAGGUGGUGCAUGGCCGUCGUCAGUUCGUACUGUAAAGCGUUCUGUUAAGUCAGAUAACGAACGAGACCCUCAUCUCUAUUUGCUACCCGUCUCUCCGGAGGCGGCGCACUAUAGGGAGACCGCUGGUGUUAAACCAGAGGAAGGCGAGGGCAACGACAGGUCAGUAUGCCCCGAAUGUCCUGGGCUACACGCGCGCUACAAAGGACGGGACAAUGGGAAGCCAGGCCGAGAGGCCGAGCUACCCCGAAACCCGUUCAUAGUUCGGAUCGUGGGCUGUAACUCGCCCACGUGAAGCUGGAUUCCGUAGUAAUCGUGUUUCAAUAUAGCACGGUGAAUAUGCCCCUGCUCCUUGCACACACCGCCCGUCAAACCAUCUUAGUUGGGGGUGGGUGAGGCUGCGCUUACUUCGGUAUGGCGUAUUCGAGCCUGCCUUCGACAAGGAGGGUUAAGUCGUAACAAGGUAUCUGUAGGUGAAAGAUCGGAAG
rnacentral:rRNA from 1 species